rnacentral:miRNA from 1 species
UGUAGGCAUGAGGCAGGGCCCAGG